AUAUGGGUUUUAUGUCCCACAAAGGUACAGUGUGGCCGCGUUAAUUAUGAAAAGAGAGAGUGCAAACUGCCCACUGGAGACACAGGCAGGCCGUGUAAUCUAAGUGAAACACAAGGCACUUAAGGCUCAGACCCGCCCUGCACAGAAAGCCCGAUAUGAUAUCUCACGCUCUUGACUUUCACAAUGUUUGAAAAGUCUUAAACCAGGCUCAAACACUCCACAACGAGACGGCUGCCAAAUCAAACGGACUCCCCGAGGUGGAGAAAUCAAACUUCCACUUCACGCCCCUUUUUAAUUUUUCUGGUUUUAAGUUGAACAGUUUCGGCUUCCGCUGAAGAAUCAGCAGCAGUCUCACCAUGACUGCAUGGCUGAAACGCUGUGCUAAAGCAGCACGUCCAGCCCCCACAUACCAGCAGGUGUCGGGGAAGGAGGGGCAGAAGAGAGAAGGGAGUGAGGUGGAGAAGAACGAAAGAAAGACCAGGACAAUGUCCUCAUCGGCAUUUGACAAAGCAAGGCAUGAACACUUAAAUCCCCUUCCCACCGCCAGCAUGCAGAGAAGUGACAGACUAAUGGUUUGUCAGUGAAUCACCGAUGACUCACCUUCAGAAAGACCCCAACCACAGCGAGUCCAUCAGGCUGCUUGGCUGCCUCUCCGAAGUCAGAGUACUUAGUGUUCCAGUGCACCAGGUGAAGCUGACAAGAAAAAAAAAAAUUAAAAAAAGACAAGGUUGACUUUUCAGUCGAAAGGCUACGGACAGUGUGUCAUCAGUGGUCGACAGAGACAAGCCAGUUUCUGUUAUAGCAAGAAACAGUGGUGUUCACACACCACAGGUUUGUUUGAGCACAGAGGCAUUUCAUUAGAGUGUUGCAAGUCUGCAUUGUGUCCACCAAGUCCAAGUCUCACCAAUACCAAAGAACAUCUAUGGACUGUUCCUAUGUUCAGUCAACGCUUUAAGCUGCUUGUCUGUAAAGUCAGUUUCCCUCUUCACACUGUGAGGAAUUCAGCUGUGGUGGAGGAACACUUUAUCAUUUAUCAUUUAUAUCUUUGUUUAUUGACCUAAAAAUAGUUACAUUUGAAUAUAUUGGAUCUACCACCAAUAUUUGUAAUUGUAGAAUAUAAAACCCCAAGAUUACCCCCCCAAAAAAUACAGCAUUAUUGAUUUCACUGUCUUUAAUGGAAGCUCUGCCCUAAAUCACAGUCCUCUCCCUGUUGAUGCUGAAAAAUACUGUCUAUGAAAAAAAAAAACACUGUAAGAUUUUAAUCUCUAUUCAGGAAAGCACAAAAGCUCCCAGCAGCUUCAGUACCUCACAG